UAUAAGGUAAUCCCCGGAUUUCACAUCUUGAUCCUCUACAAUCCUAUCUUAGUUAAAUAUUCAGACUACCAAACACAACCUGAAAGGUUUUACCCUAAUCUCGAACCAAACGUAACCUGAGAGGUUUUACCCUAAUCUCGAUAUUAAUCAUGACUGACCCAUCAUGUUCUCCCAUGCAUAAGUAGUCAUGAAAACGCCCACAGUUUUAUGCUUUAGCCCUAAUCCUGAUAUUCAUCACCACUAACCCAUCAGUUUCUCCCAUGCACUACAAGACAUGAAAACGCCCACAGUUCUAGGCUUUCAUCCUGUUUCCACCAGACCCCCCCACACCGCAUUCUCUCCCAAAAUAUGUUCUUUUUGUAGCCACAAAUCUCUCUCUCUCUCUCUCUCUCUCUCUCUCUCUCUCUCUCUCUCUCUCCUGUGUAUGUGCUUUCUUCUCCAUCAAAACAUGGCACCUACUGCUGCAAUGCUGAUACUGCCCUACCAAGAGAGAACCACUUCACCAUCAUCAUCAUCUCAAACUUCAUCACCACUCCAAGUGAAGUUCUCAGCAACAAUGAAACGGUUCUUGCAAGAACAUCACUCCAUGAGAACCAGAGCACCAAAGGAAAAGACGAUGGAGAACGCACGCACGUCUCGCGGGGCUUCUCCUCCUCCGUCUCCUCCCCCGCCAUUGGAAAGGGAGCUGGACGAAGCUCUCCAGCUCAGCUGCUGCUAGGAAUUCAUUCGGUCCUUAGAGGACAAGGUACUGGAAAGGAGGGCAAAAGAUGCUCAAGGAACAAAUUAUUAGGAUAAUGGAUGGAGGAUAAAGUGACAUGGAAAAUUUUAUCUCCAAGAGCUAUCUCAUACAAAAGACAAAUUCCAAAGAGCAACAUAAGCCUAAAAUAAGACCUAUUUUGUACUCAAGGCUUUUACUUUCGAGUUGCAUCGA